UCCGUAGGCGGGUUAUUAAGUCAGUGGUGAAAUCCUACAGCUCAACUGUAGAACUGCCAUUGAAACUGGUAACCUUGAGUAUAAUUGAAGUGGGCGGAAUGUGUCAUGUAGCGGUGAAAUGCUUAGAUAUGACACAGAACACCGAUUGCGAAGGCAGCUCACUAAGUUAUAACUGACGCUGAGGGACGAAAGCGUGGGUAGCGAACAGGAUUAGAUACCCUGGUAGUCCACGCCGUAAACGAUGUACACUCGUUGCUGGCGAUACACAGUCAGUGACCAAGCGAAAGUGUUAAGUGUACCACCUGGGGAGUACGCUCUCUAGAGUGAAACUCAAAGGAAUUGACGGGGGCCCGCACAAGCGGUGGAGCAUGUGGUUUAAUUCGAUGA
rnacentral:rRNA from 1 species